UACGGGGGGGCAAGCGUUGUUCGGAAUUACUGGGCGUAAAGGGCUCGUAGGUGGCCAACUAAGUCAGACGUGAAAUCCCUCAGCUUAACUGGGGAACUGCGUUCUGAUACUGGAUGGCUUGAGUUUGGGAGAGGGAGUGCGGAAUUCCAGGUGUAGCGGUGAAAUGCGUAGAUAUCUGGAGGACACCGGUGGCGAAGGCGGCAAGUCCUGGACCAACACUGACACUGAGAGCGAAAGCCAGGGAGCAAACGGG
rnacentral:rRNA from 1 species